CAGUCUUACGCGCCGCGAAAGGUGCUUGCACCUUUCUAGUGAGUGGCGAACGGGUGAUUAUCAUGUGGACAACCUGCCCCAAGGGUGGGGAUAACAUUUGGAAACAGAUGCUAAUACCGAAUAAAACUUAGUGUCGCAUGACACAAAGUUAAAAGGCGCUUCGGCGUCACCUAGAGAUGGAUCCGCGGUGCAUUAGUUAGUUGGUGGGGUAAAGGCCUACCAAGACAAUGAUGCAUAGCCGAGUUGAGAGACUGAUCGGCCACUUUGGGACUGAGACACGGCCCAAACUCCUACGGGAGGCUGCAGUAGGGAAUCUUCCACAAUGGGCGAAAGCCUGAUGGAGCAACGCCGCGUGUGUGAUGAAGGCUUUCGGGUCGUAAAGCACUGUUGUAUGGGAAGAACAGCUAGAAUAGGAAAUGAUUUUAGUUUGACGGUACCAUACCAGAAAGGGACGGCUAAAUACGUGCCAGCAGCCGCGGUAAUACGUAUGUCCCGAGCGUUAUCCGGAUUUAUUGGGCGUAAAGCGAGCGCAGACGGUUUAUUAAGUCUGAUGUGAAAGCCCGGAGCUCAACUCCGGAAUGGCAUUGGAAACUGGUUAACUUGAGUGCAGUAGAGGUAAGUGGAACUCCAUGUGUAGCGGUGGAAUGCGUAGAUAUAUGGAAGAACACCAGUGGCGAAGGCGGCUUACUGGACUGCAACUGACGUUGAGGCUCGAAAGUGUGGGUAGCAAACAGGAUUAGAUACCCUGGUAUUCCACACCGUAAACGAUGAACACUAGGUGUUAGGAGUUUCCGCCUCUUAGUGCCGAAGCUAACGCAUUAAGUGGUUCCGCCUGGGGAUUACAACCGCAAGGUUGAAACUCAAAGGAAUUGACGGGGGACCCGCACAAUCGGGUGGAACCAUGGGGGUUUAAUUCCAAAGCAACCGCGAAAAAACCUUAACAAGGUCUUGACAUCCUUUUGAAGCCUUUUAGAAAAUAGAAGUGGUUCCCCUUCCGAGACAAAGUGGAAAGGGUGGUGGCAUGGGUCGCCGCCCAGCCUCCUGGUCGGGGAAUGUUUGGGGUUAAAGUCCCGCAAACCGAACGCCAACCCCUUAAUUGUUAGUUUGCCCAGCUUUCCAAAAGGGGCCCUUUAAGCGCGAAACUGGCCGGGGGGAAAAACCCGGAAAAAAAGGCGGGGAACAACGUCC
rnacentral:rRNA from 1 species